GACGAACCGUGCGAACGUUAUUCGGAAUCACUGGGCUUAAAGCGCGUGUAGGCGGACGGGGACGUCGGUCGCUGAAAUCCCCCGGCUCAACCGGGGAACGGGCGCCGAAACGCCCCGUCUCGAGGGACGUAGGGGGACCUGGAACUUCCGGUGGAGCGGUGAAAUGCGUUGAGAUCGGAAGGUAACGCCCGUGGCGAAAGACGAG
rnacentral:rRNA from 1 species